rnacentral:misc_RNA from 1 species
GAUGAAGAACGCAGUGAAAUGCGAUAAGUAAUGUGAAUUGCAGAAUUCAGUGAAUCAUCGAAUCUUUGAACGCACAUUGCGCCCGCCAGUAUUCUGGCGGGCAUGCCUGUUCGAGCGUCAUUUCAACCAUCAAGCCCCCGGCUUGUGUUGGGGACCUGCGGCUGCCGCAGGCCCUGAAAAGCAGUGGCGGGCUCGCUGUCACACCGAGCGUAGUAGCAUACAUCUCGCUCUGGGCGUGCUGCGGGUUCCGGCCGUUAAACCACCUUCAUAACCCAAGGUUGACCUCGGAUCAGGUAGGAAGACCCGCUGAACUUAAGCAUAUAAUAAGCGGAGGA